AGAACGAACGCUGGCGGCGUGGAUAAGACAUGCAAGUCGAACGCGACUUAUUUUGUUAGCAAUAACAGAGUAAGUUGAGUGGCGAAAGGGUGCGUAACACGUGGGAAUUUACCAAGAAGUGGGGGAAUAGCUCGACGAAAGUCGAAUUAAUACCGCAUGUGAUCGAAAGAUCAAAGUCGGGGACCGCAAGGCCUGACGCUUUUUGAGAAGCCCGCGGCCCAUCAGCUAGUUGGUGAGGUAAUGGCCCACCAAGGCUAUGACGGGUAGCUGGUCUGAGAGGACGACCAGCCACACUGGAACUGAGACACGGUCCAGACACCUACGGGUGGCAGCAGUCGAGAAUUUUCACAAUGGACGAAA
rnacentral:rRNA from 1 species